GCCGCACUUCGCUCCACCCGCAGCCCUUUGUUCGCCGCCGGUGCAGGCUGCGCUACCCUCGCUGGUGUUUCUCUCUUCCGAAUGUCUUCCAGAUCUCCUCCUUUCGCUUCUCUCAGUGUCUCAGCUUCUGCUUCUGGUAUCUCUCUCUCUCUUCUCUUCUCUCCUCUCCGAUUUGGCUUCAAAGUUUCCAAUUCUUGGUGGCAUUUGCUAAAGUUUUGAUUUUGAUGAUUGCCCGGAACGAAAGUUUUGAUUUUGAUAUCGAUUUUGCUGAACUCAUCUGUUUAUUAGUAUUGGGUCUUAAAGCUUUUCAGUGUUUUAGGAUGAUAAUGAGAGUUAUUGACAGUGUUGAAUUUUGUAAAAAAAAAAAUGCAGAGAAGAAGGAAGUUGUGGCGACAGAGAAAGCACCAGCUGCUUUGGGACCAUACUCUCAGGCCAUCAAAGCCAACAAUCUCGUUUUCGUUUCCGGUGUUCUUGGUCUUAU
rnacentral:lncRNA from 1 species